rnacentral:rRNA from 1 species
AUGGCCGGAAGCGACAAGGAGAAGGCGCAGAAGAAACUAGAGGAGGAAAAGGCCAAGGCGGAGGCCUCGGACCUUGGGAUGACCCUGGCCCGUCUCUCCACUGACGAGGGCUCAGGGGUGCGCGUCGUUGAGCGCGUCGUGCACAGCGGCGGCGGCGGCGGGCCCCCGAUGAUGCUCACGCGCACAAACUACUCCGACUGGGCUAUGAUCACUAAAUUGCAGCUGCAGGCGGACGAGCUCUGGCGCGUGGUGGAGACAGGGCAAGGCUCGGAUCGCGAUGACCGGCGCGCCAUGAUCGCCCUCCUCAAGGGGGUGCCGUCGGAGCUCAUGCGGAUCCUGGGCGCCAAGGCCACGACCAAGGAGGCCUGGGACACUCUGAAGACCAUGUGCGUCGGGGUCGAGCGUGUGCGUGAGGCCAAGGCGCAAACUCGCCGAUCGGAGUACGAGGCGCUCCGGUACAAGGACGGCGAGGGAAUCGAGUCGUACGUGAUGCGGCUCAGAACGAUCAUCGACGACCUGCAGUCACUGGGUGAUCCCAUGGAUGAGCAUAACGCUAUCCUCAAGGUACUCCGGACUGUGCCGCGCCCGUACCGUGAGAUGGCCGUGGCGAUCGAGUCGCUCGUCGACACCAAGCAGCUCUCCCUCGAGGAACUUUGCGGCCGGCUCCUUAUCGUCGAGGAGCGAGAGCGCGAGGAGACACCUGCUCCCGGCGCCUAG